GGAUAUUGCACCUGAGUGCGACAUCGGAGGAUGACCAUUCUUGCAUCAGAUUGUGUUCUGCACCCAAAGUCGACAUCGUAGCAGAACCAUUCUUGCAGCAGAUUGUAUUCUGCACCCGAGCCCGAAAUCGUAGGAGAACCAUUCUUGCAUCAGAUUGUAAGUAGAUAAUUUCUUUAUCAUUUUCAUACAUAACUUUUAUGAUUUUGCUUGUUUUCGGGGUUUAGCACAUGAAUGCGGCAUCCGCGUAAUAUCAGCGAGGUCCCUAAAGAUGUAAAAUUUAUUUCUUCAUGGCGUAUAAAUUGUACGUUUCGUACGUUAUGUCCAUAACUUGUAACUGUUUGUUUACAUUUAGUUAUUUUGAAUAGUUUUAGGAUUAUAUAUAACAUGGAUAGUGUUUUAUUAAUUUUCGUUCAAGUGAGUGAGAUAGAAAUAUCAGGAUGUGGUGAUAGCAGGUGAGUUAGAAUAAGACAGCAAUACUGAAGUUUCAUGUUCACUCCAUGUUUUUUAUAUGAUCUGCCGAAUUUUCUACACUUUAUUUAUGUUGUCAAUUCGACCUUGGCAUGCGCAGCACGCUGUGCGCUGCCAUUUGAAAUUUGAACAGUACCGCACCGGUCGCCGUGUGUCGUCGGCUAUUCGCUAUACUGCUCAGUACAUCUUGCGCUGGCGUGUUGGCCAGUGUUGGCUGUUGUUUUUUCCUGUUUAGUCAGUCGGUAGUACGCAUUUGUGGUGUGUGCACGUGUUCUCCUCCUUCUCCGCCACUGUUCGUCGCAACUGUUAGUAUUUCGGGCGAUUUUAAUACGGUGCGAGCCUUAUAAUUGUUUAGUCGUCGAUUGCUAUCAACUAAUGAACAAGUAAUUUAUAAAAUAUAUUUAUUAAAAUAGUUUUGUGAUUUUCUUGGAUUUUACAAUUUUGUAUGCGAGUUUUACAUGUUUCGCCCUGUGGGCAUCAUCAGAAACUGAUGCAUAGAAAAUUGUAAAAUCCAAGAAAAUCACAAAAUUAUUUUAAUAAAUAUAUUUUAUAAAUUACUACCAUGGAUUACGUAUUCAACUUAGAAAAUAAUAAAAAAAAUAUAAUGAACAAGUGAUUUAUCUCGAAUCGACUCGAAACUUAAGACACCACGUGCGCGUGUGUAAGCCAUCAGCCGUCGGAUCUCUUACGUUAGGCUACGGAUUCCAAUUGGAUUUAUAGGCCAAAAUGGUAUUGUUAAUUAGACGCGAUAAAUAACGCGUUCUCUCCGUGUGGUAUAGUUGUUACUGCAAAAAUAAUACAGUGAUUAGUAACAUCAAUUCUACUAACAAUUCUACUUUAUGUGAAACGUUUGAUAAGAGAGCGUUGUGGCUCGAUGGUACGGCAUAUCCUGCCUUGGAUCGUACAUACGUUCGUUUUAUUAAAAUAAGAAAAAGGAAUGUAUGUUAAAUAUAAUCAAUAAAACUCAAUUUAAAAUUAAAA